rnacentral:rRNA from 1 species
AGUGAACGCUGGCGGUAGGCCUAACACAUGCAAGUCGAACGGCAGCACAGUAAGAGCUUGCUCUUACGGGUGGCGAGUGGCGGACGGGUGAGGAAUACAUCGGAAUCUACUUUUUCGUGGGGGAUAACGUAGGGAAACUUACGCUAAUACCGCAUACGACCUACGGGUGAAAGCAGGGGAUCUUCGGACCUUGCGCGAUUGAAUGAGCCGAUGUCGGAUUAGCUAGUUGGCGGGGUAAAGGCCCACCAAGGCGACGAUCCGUAGCUGGUCUGAGAGGAUGGGAGGCUACAGUGGAACUGAGGCACGGUUCAGAGUAAGAGGGAAGGCAGCAGUGGGGAAUAGUCCGCAAUGGGUGAGGGUCUGAAGGAGCAAUGCCGGGUAAGUGAGGAAGGUCGGCGGAUCGUAGAAGUCUGUUAUUAGGGAAGAAAAUAAGUCAAAGGAACUCUGCACAUCUUGACGGUACCUAAUCAGAAAGCCACGGCUGACUACGUG